AUACUGUUUCUUCCUUCAACGAUGAACUCCAAACAAUCUUUAGCAAUCACUUUGAUUUGGGUUUCCAAGUUUCUGAUGUUUGUAGAAUGUCAAAACUGCACCUUACGCAUUAAAGAUCCUGAAUGGACAAAAAUGUGGUAUCUUGACAAUCCCAGGACAAAAAAAUAUGAUAUGAACGUAUUAACAGCAUGGGAAAGCUGUGUAAACGGUACUGGCGUGACUGUUGGUGUAGUUGACAAUGGAAUAC